ACCUUCCCUCACUCGGACGGGCUGUGGUGUCCUUGACUCCAUCACAACCUCCUAGAGUGAGUGAUGGU